GGGGAAUAUUGGACAAUGGGCGAAAGCCUGAUCCAGCCAUGCCGCGUGUGUGAAGAAGGUCUUCGGAUUGUAAAGCACUUUAAGUUGGGAGGAAGGGCAGUUACCUAAUACGUGAUUGUUUUGACGUUACCGACAGAAUAAGCACCGGCUAACUCUGUGCCAGCAGCCGCGGUAAUACAGAGGGUGCAAGCGUUAAUCGGAAUUACUGGGCGUAAAGCGCGCGUAGGUGGUUAGUUAAGUUGGAUGUGAAAUCCAACGGCUUAACCGUUGAACUGCAUUUGAAACUGCAAGGCUAGAGUAUGGGAGAGGUAGGUGGAAUUCUCGGUGUAGGGGUAAAAUCCGUAGAGAUCGAGAGGAAUACUCAUUGCGAAGGCGACCUGCUGGAACAUUACUGACGCUGAGGUGCGAAAGCGUGGGGAGCAAACA
rnacentral:rRNA from 1 species